rnacentral:rRNA from 1 species
GACGAACGCUGGCGGCGUGCUUAACACAUGCAAGUCGAACGGAAAGGCCUGCUUUCCCUUGUGGAUUGCGGGUACUCGAGUGGCGAACGGGUGAGUAACACGUGAGUGAUCUGCCCCCAACUUGGGUAUAAGCCUGGGAAACUGGGUCUAAUUCCCGAUAGGACUGCAGGGUGGUGCCUGUGGUGGAAAACGAUUUUCUAGUGGUCGGGGAUGAGCUCGCGGCGUAUCAGCUUGUGGUUGGGGUAAUGGCCUACCAAGGCGGCGUCGGGUAGCCGGCCGGAGGGCGUGGACCGCGGUCGUGUGACUGAGUUACAGUGCAGUGAGCUACGGGAGGCACCAGAGGGGGGUGUUGAACAUUGGAGGAGAGCCUGAUGCAGCGACGGCGCGCGCGGAAUGACGGCGUUCGGGUUGUGGACUCCUUUGGGGCGCAAGGAUGCCACUUGGUUGGACGGGUGGUGACGGGAAUGGGAGAAGAAGCACCGGCUAACUACGUG